UCACCCUUUAAUAAAAAAACCGAAAUAAAAGAUGAGUACAUGAAGGUGAUGCUAGUUCCCCUGCCUACGAGUUUUUAGCUACCUUGUCCUGGGGAAGGGCUGCAGAUUCACUUGAUACAGAUUUAUAAAGAGAGAGAAACGUUGGAUUAAAAGCAGCAGUGGGAAUAAAUUAAUGAAGGGAAAAAACUAACAGAAGCCAACUUGACAGGAUCUGAGCAUUAACUAAGUGUUGCUAUCCACUCCCCUUCCCCCCCAACCUCUCCGGUGAAACCUGCAGAUAGUUUGGAACAAGGAGCCUAAGAGAAGGUGCAAGUCUGUGUCUAUAUCUCUGGCAUAUGGAACUGUUUUACUAGGGUAAGAGCUCUGCCAAAAUUCUUUAAAACUAAAUGAAUUCAUGUAUAAUAUCCUUUAACAUCAUCUCUAACAGGCCCUGCUAUUCAUUGCUGUUUUACUGCAAACAUUAGACUUAUCCAAAUAAAAAUGGUGGGGGGAGGGGGGAAAGGGGGAAAGAAUUACAACCUAGUAAGAUGUGGUUAGUAAACUCCAGCAGAAAAAUUAAUGUAAAGGAAAAUGGGUAAGUAUGAGUCUGUGCCUAUUUCAACCAUGCAAACUUAUGCCAGGUUGGGCAGUAAAGACUAGAAAUAAGUUAGAAGCGUAACUUAAGUCCUUUCCCACCAUCCCAUUGAUGCAUAGUCAAUGUAUGUACAUAACUCCCAGUUGGCAUGAGCAAACUGCAUUAACUGUCUCUGCAUCAAACUAUCCCUAGAAAAGCAUAUUGACUGUACCAAGCAGGUUGAUAAAUGACACGACUUCAUUUCAGGAUAUCAUCAGAUAAGAAACAAGGAACCCGACCCUCUUGGUAGGUUAAAUUUUCAAAUCUGGAAGGAACACUCACCUGGUCUCCAGGAUGACCUGGUGGUCCAGGAUAGCCUUUGUAUCCCUAUUUAAAAAAAAAAUCAGAGAAGAGAACAGAAUAAAAUUACAUACACUUAGCUUGAAUUUCUCAUCAGACCUCAGAAGAAAGCUCUACGGAAAAAGAAGAUUUUAGAUGUGGAGGAAAGGUAGGAGUCGUGCUGACUUUUCACCACCCACCUUGCCUUUAUCCUGCUUUUUAGACUUCAAGUUCUUUAGGGCUGUUUUCCAGGAUUUACCAGAAACUUGCUUUGAAUAUAGAGUAAUGGUUUGGGAUGGCAGGCAUGUUAGACUUUUGCUUUUUCUAUAAUGUUAUUGUAGCCAUUAAAAAUAAACUUGUCUCCAUCAAAUAAUCAAACUAGAUUAGAAGAUUAAAUUCAGUUGCAGAGUAGUAGUAGUAUUAUGCAACCAUUGAUCCUUCUGGAUCAUGAUGUAUGCACGAGAGGUCACCCAGACCUUUGACACGUAUGCCCAGGCAGGGCUAUGGAGAGAGAAACGCUGUAAUUGGGUUAGUCAUAAGGUUAUAGAGAACAGAAAAGUGUAAUUUGAAACAAACCUUGGAAAAAAUAUCAAACCUCAACAAAAAAACUACAGGAAUAACGAAAUACCUUCAGGUUGAGCUAUAACGGUUAACUAUUUCCUGAUCUCUAAUCCCUACGCCCUGUCUUGGCAUAGGGAUCCCAGAAGGUCACUGUGCGGUAGUGGAACAUCCUAUGUAAUAUAUUUUUCCUGCUCUAGGAGUCACAACUGAAUCCUUUUUGGCGAAGUGCUUCAGUUCACUCACCAGAUGAGCCUGGGACUAUUCCUGUUCUACAGUUCUGUUCAACUGCCUUUUUUAUUCUUCCCACAGGAUCUUCUAGAACGGCCGGCUAAUUUUCCCUGACAGCAGUAUGUGGCCCUCAUAAUGAUCCCUGGGAUUCAGCCCAGUCUUCUUUGCAUUCCUCUUUAUUUACUAUUUCAGGUAUUUGGAUUUGGAGAAAUGCUUAAUCCCUCAUCACCCAGUUUCUCCUGCUUGAGCUUACCAUUAUACUGCAACCCUGUGUUUUCUUUCUGUCUAUAGAAAAAAAUGUGAUUUUCUUUAAAGAUCCUAUGAGUGGCAAGGAUCCUGAACCUCGUAGAAUUAGAUAACAAAAGUCCUGAUCCAGAACCUAUUUGGGUCAAUGUGGGCACUGCUAUUGACCCAAGGGUUUUUUUAAAGAGACUUGCGAAGAGGACUGACUGGCUCAGGUAACAGGAUAAAGUUUACCAAUGGAUCUCCAAGCAGGUAGUGACCUAAAGUUUGCACAAUCCAAUGGCUUUGGGUGGCAUAUGACUUUGUUUCCUUUCUUAGAUAUUUCAAAAUUAGUGCUAUGCCCACUGGAGAACUGGUCAGGAGCUUAAUGCUUAGCCUUUUGCUCAGAGACGGCGCCGAAUUCAGGAGGAAAAAAACUGCUACAUUUGUACCACGCUCCAAACCUCAACUGGGAAGGACAAUGAAUAACCUGUGCUAAUUUUAGAUCCUAGAUACUACGUCCAUGUUGAGGCUCUUGCUGGUUGAUGGGUUACAUAUUGGCCAAAUGCACUGGAGAGAUUCUAUUUCUUUAAGAGUUAUCACCGGAUGCCUUGGGGUAUUUCUGUCUCUGGGCUCUGUCCAUCCCAUACUCUACAGGGACAGUGAGGAUGUGAGCUUUCCACUCCGCUCGGGCACCACGACUGCAGGUAGCUGACUCUAGGGCUCACAGCUAAAGUCAGUCACUCUCUAAGUCAGGGGUGGGCAAUUAUUUUGGGUGGAGGGCUGCUUACUGAGUUUUGGCAAGCCAUUGAGGGCCGCAUGACAGGCAGCCGGGGCAGAUAAAUAUUAAUUUUCAAAUUUUUUAGGGGCCCCACAGGCCAGAUAGAAUGGCCUGGCGGGCCGCAUCCGGCCCGCGGGCCGUGUUUUGCCCAGCCCGGCUCUAAGUGCACUCAUCUGGAACCAGCAGCCCACUCACUAUGAUCGCCAAUGUCCAAACAAACAGCAGGAGCCAAAACCAAAUGUCCAUAGAGCAAAAGUUACUCUCUAUCAAAACAGCUCUUCCUUUCUUCAUAGGCAACUGUUUCCAUCACCUUUGCUCAUGGGGCAGGCACUACUGGGGCAUCAUCAUCAUCACACACUGCAGUGAAUGAAUACCUACAGCUCUUCUUCUCUCCCUCCUAAAAUAUAAAAAUCAAGUGUAAAAGUUUCCUUUGGAAAUCGCAGAUCCAGAACACUCAGGAAUUGGAUUGCUCCUCAGGACUGCGAAUGCACCAUGGUUGGAAGAGGGAGACUGCGACUAUAAAUACAAGUCCUGAGCUAAUGUCUGCACUAAGCAUGACAAUGUUUUAUCUAUAAAGGCUAGUGAAUAGCUCUUAAGCUAAAUAUAUAUCUAGCCCAUUAUUGCUGCGUCCUAUUAAAUAUGAUCUUCAUUGUUUAGAGUGAACUCAGGGGAGUUUAAAAUGUGUGUUUCUGCACAUUAACCUGUGAUUACCACUGUCUGAGGUUAAUUGUAGUGAGGACAAAAAAAGCUUAUGUAUUCUAAGGCUGGCUGGUAUGUGAAAGUGUUUACCUGCCGCAUUCCUCUUUAAAUAGCACUAAAAUGACAGGGAAGAGCAUAUGAAAACAACUGCAUUUGCUUUCCUAUCCAAACACUUCCUGAUGAUUACAGGGCAUUAAACAUAAAGGGCUGCGAUUUCAAAAGGAAAUUACACUUCACUGAAAGGUUUGCUCAUCUGUGACGAGGUUUAUAUCCAUGCUAUCUCUAGCUACAAUGCCUUGCUUUCUGCGGGGACUGGAGGUGGUCUGACAAGCUCAUCUGGCCAGGCUGGAAGAGGCUGCUUGCUGUGUGCUGCCUCUUUGGAAGGAAGGGCUUCGGGCUGGAUCCCUGAACUGGGAAUUCAGUAAAUUUAGGUCCAGUUCCUAGCUCUGUCUCCAUGACCUUGGGAGAGUCUCUUAAUCUCUCAGUACCUCACUUUGUCAACCCUUAUGUUCAGUUCCAGCUGUUCAGGUCUCUGUACAGUUUGUCUCAGGAGAAUCAAAGCAUUUUGCUAAAAUACAUUUGCAAGGCAGCCAUUGCCUGCCUCCAACAGCCAAAAACCACACACCAUUCAUGGGUUCUUAGGCACCAAAAGAGAAGCCCUUUAAGCUAAGGUUUUGCCACCAUUUUCUAAAACUGCUGUGCAGCAAAAAUAAAAUUUGUUCCAUGUGAAGAGGAUGAGAACGGCAUCUCUCUUGGACAAAACCACAGCAUUUUUGGUAUCCCAUGUCUGAGCAGCUGGUUGCAGUUGGGCACAGGCAAAGGUUUUUGUGGGUGUCCUGAGGCCAGAGCAUUCAAAUCUGCAAAGAAAAGAUUCCCUCCCCAUGCAUUUGCAUCACAGAGGUGUUCUUAUGGUGCAAACCGUACCACGCUAAACCACGUCCUUUUGGUAGUGGCUCCAGCUCAGACUGCAGGGGAAGGAAAAAUGUCUUGUGGUAGAGGGAAAAUUCUCUCUCUCUGGAACUUCUUACACAGCAUUUGCAGAUGAAUGGAGCGCCGUUCCAUCCAAGCCACAACAUGAAGCUCUUUCCCAUCAGUCCCACAAAAGGAGAAUGCCAUUUCCUUCUUGCUUACACCAGUUUUCAAGGAUUUGCCAUUUUCUUGUAGCUUAACCAGACUCCCAGUCUGCAGCCAAAUGCCAUAUUUUCACUGGGGUGAUGCCAGCAGGGAAUUGAGAUUGAAAACUGUUUUGUCCAAAUAUUUCUCCAACAGCUUUUAAUUUUUUUUCUUAAUUUAGAAGUCUAAUAAAUUCCAGGCAGUACCAAAAUGCCUGCCAGGCUAGCACUGCUGUGGUUUCAUUUUAGUUAUUUAUUUAUGUGUUUAUUUUCUUGUGCAGUGCACCGCAGGAAAAUCUCAUCAUCCACCUUACUUGUAGACUUGAAGAAACAGCAUUCCCCUUUCUCCCCCACCAACACUAUCCGUGAACGAGCUUCAGGAGUCUGUUUGCCAAGAUCAGGUGUGGGGUCUAUGGAACUGGGUUUGGGAAUGUUUGUUUAAUCUCCUAUUCCUUCUCCACGUUUUCCACCACAGGCCUAUGCUCUCCUGACACUGCAUUUUGCUGCUCAAAACCGCAAGGUUUUGUUUUAUGAGCUGCUAUGCUAAAAAACGAUGUUCUUUAGACCUAAUUCAUAAGAACUAGUUUGUGACAGUGGAGGUGGGAUAAGUCUUGACCACUGCGCUCUUUGGCUCAAUACCCAAGACUGAACAAGUAUCAUCACCCCUGCAGAUGGUUUACAACCCCAGCUCCUGUUUUCAUGACUGGUGAUGGGAUGGAUCGGCCCAGCACCCCAUGCUGCGUAUUUCAUGCAGGUGAAAGGUAGUCAUUUGCCAGCCCUGGAGACUGAAGGCCCUUGUAUAGCAGAAGCUCUUCCAAGUGGCUUUAGUCCCUGAUCUCAGUGGCACUUACUUUGAGGGGAGCUUUCUCUAUGGCCCGGUCACUCCCACGAUAACCAGGAAAAGUAGGGAGUUUGGUGUUCAGCUUUGUAAUGGUGAUACCUGCUCACUGCAAAUAGCACAGAAGCCCACUAACCCCAUAAGCCAUCAAGUAGGUUUUCACCAUUCACAAGGGAAUUGCUUGAACCCAGCAGGGGGAAAGUAUUAUCCUUUCUCUGAAACAUUUAGCAAGGCCUCUAAUAUAUUAGACUGUAAAAAUAUGACAACUGGGAGUCCCCUGCUGUGGGGCUGUUCUUAAGCAUCCCCAUGAUGGGGAUCCACUGUCCUCCAGAAGCCCUUUUCCACUCCUCCAUCUAUUGCAUUAGGCUGGUACUUUGCAGUAGGGUAAAGAAACAAAACAACACUAAACUAAAAUGCUUGAAAAAUAAAAGCUCCCCCACAAAAGAGAGGAGCGGAGUUGUGGAAUUUGCCACCACCAGAAGUGUGAGCACACUUAGUCACGGGAAUGUGGCUGAUGCAGGGGUGUGAGGUUGCGUACGCUGUUUCAGACACAAAGGACAGAACAUGGCAGUGAGGAAUCUCACACGUUAGCCCUUGACAUCAGUCUUGGGGACAAGCACAUUACUGGAGACAUUAGGGCUACUGAUGCACAAUACAGAAGCAAACAAAGCAGACCCGUGUUAAUUUUGAGCUCCAUUCACAAUGAAAGAGAGAAAGAAAAGCUUUUCCAAACCAAUAUGGGUUUGUCUUGCCCAAGAAACUUGAUCAAGCUGAGGUUAGGCUCCAUUAACAUGUGCGUGAUAGGCAACAUCUAAACUCAACCCUUCCUUAGCAUAUAUGCACAGAAAUGCCCUGUAGGUUAAUUCAGCUCCUGCCCUGGGUAGAACGAUCUGAGAUAAAUGAUAUAAGCCUGCAUAUAUACAGCCUGGGGAAACACUGCUUAGAGGAGGAUAUUCUAGCAGAUGGGGAGGUAGUCUUUGGAGGCCUGGGUUCAAUUCCUCUCCCUACCAUAAACUUCCUGUGUAACUUGGAACAAGUCACUGGGCCUCUCUGUCUCUGUUCCCCAUCUAAAGUGGUGAUAAUAGGACUGCUCCUUCUCAUGGGAAUGGGAUUAGAAGAUUGUGGGUGCUUUGAUAACAUGGUUAUGGGGGCAAUGUGUAAGUAGCUGAGAUAAAGAAAGUUUAGAUUGGACUUAGCAUGUCUUAACUAAACCUGGCUUAAACCAAGGCAUUCUUCCUUCAAGACAAAGAGUAAGAAGCCAGAAAGGCUGAGGAUCGCAGUGCCUAGAAAAGUAGAAUGGGAGGCAGGGCUCUCUUCCCUGCUCUGACGUGGUCUUACUCGUCUCUGUGCCUCCCUUCAUCCACUUGUACAUUGGGGAUACCAACUUGCUCUCCUGUCCCUGCAUGCCGAGGCAUAAUUAAAUCUUCUAAAGUACACAGGAAUCUUUCAAGCAGAGAUGUUUAAGAAGGACAAUUCUUAUUUGCUGGCAAUCAUUUUAAUUCACUAAUAAAGAAAAUACUCUUACCUUCCGACCAGGUGGUCCAGGCAAACCAGUCAAGCCGGGCAAGCCCAUGUCUCCCUAUAAGAGAUCAGCGUGUCUCAUUAAUUUUCAGCAGCUUUUAUUGGCAUCUCCCAUACAGUCUUACCAAAUGUCUUUGGCAUAGAAUUCCUCAGAAAUACACUGGAAAAUGAUUCGUGGUUCCAAAGAUUAAAAGCGGACUGUAAAUACACACGCUCUACUACUUAGAUCAUGGAAACAAUGGGACCAAUGAAUGAAUGGAAGCCUCUAGCCAGGAGAACACAACCUCCCUUUGCAAUGGUCUCCUUCACUCGCACUAUUUGCAUUUUGACAGGAGUUGAAAUGGCAAAGGAAGGACAGAAUCAUACUUUUCAAAUGAAUCAAUGGAUGUCCACUGCCAAAUCCAGUAAUCAGGCUCAUUUACUGUUGCUGCUGCUGCAGCUACUACUCCUCCAGUGACUGCAUUCAAAUAGGUCUGACAAAGCUAUUUUAUUUAUGUAUACAGUGCUGAUCAAUCCCUUCCUGGCUGCUUGAAUGGAGGUUGUUUUGGUUUCCAGUCUUGGGAUAGGAUCACUUUCAGCCCCAAUUGGCAUACUGGAAACAUCUUAAGAAUGGACUGUCCUUUGUUGCUAGCCAUUUACAUACCACAUCCGGUCCCUAACUUUAAUAAAUGCCUGGCUUCCUUUCAUCAUCCUUAAAGAACCCUUAGGAUUCCCCACAUGCAGGCACUGUGUCUGAUUAUUUAACAUGUAUUUGGAGGAAGAAUUAGGCAUCACUCCAAACUCCAGCUGGAAGUUCCUUGUUUCUAUUAAUACUAACAGAAACAAGGCCUUGUUAACAAAGACUAAGGAUAAUCUGGGCCUUGCCUGCUCUUACAGUGAGCAUGCUUUGGGAGAAAACUGUUAUUGAGCUUUCUGGUAGAUCUUUUCCAUGUGAUGCCAAUUCUGAUGCAUCAGAAAGCUUUGUGUGGUUCAAAAAAAAUCACUGUGUGUGGUUAAAAUGAAAGACUCGGUUCAAAACAGUCUCAGUACUCUCUAGGGUCAUCAUCCUUGUUGCAUCAUGCUUAAAGUACUGCAUCGAGACACUGGGCUUCAAAUUAAUUAACUGAAACCCUUCAUAGCUGAUACUUUCUAUUAACUGCUCACUAAUAGUAAGGCUCAUAAUGUGAGUGAGGGAAAAGGUUUAUUUGGACUGGAAAUAAGUUAUGAAGGAAAGAGAAAGUGAGUUGGCACAAAGAAAAGGGCAAAUCAUUAUAGAUAUUAGGGAAGCCUGAUCAUUCCUCUAUUAACUUCAACAUUUAUAUGAGCCUCUAUUGCCAGGCAUCAAUAAAAACCAAUCAACUGUGAAACAGCACAAAAUUCAGCUUUUAAUUUAUUGAAAUGAACUAGCAAUAGAGCUUCUUGAUCCUUACACAAGAGCUAAAUAAUCAGGCCUUGCUAACUGGCCUUGCAUGGAUUUCAUUGAUUCUAAUCAAGCUGGGUGCAAAACUUCUGAUUAUUUAUUGCACAGUAGGGUCGGCAUAUGCUAAUUGGGACAGUUCUGUCUUCCUUAAUCUGGACAGCAAGAUGGCUGUGAAGUUAAGACACUGGCCUCCCAAGAUUUCACUUCUUCACUUGGCUCUGCUGCAGACUUGCUGUAUGAUUGGUCAAGAAAGUAAAUCAGUUCCUCAGGUCCCCCACUUACCAAGGGGGAAAAUGUUUCCUUUAAACUCAAAGCUUUUUCUGCUUAGACUGCUCACUCCUUGGGAUCAGGGAUUGGAUACUAUGGCUAUGUCUAUACUACAAUCAAGCUGUGACUGUUGCUUGCACAAAUAUACCUGAGCUCAGGUGCCAAUCACAGGGAGCAUGGAGCUCAGCACAGGCUACAAAAUUCAUCUAGAAUGUGUAAAUCCUCAUUCAGCAAGCCAUUCCUGCUGCCAUCAGUACACAACCCAGUGAGCUAAUAGCUCGCUCGGGUACUUCUACAGGUGCUUUUGUCACGCCUUCCUAAAUCCCCCCUAUUCGUACCUACAGCAUGGAGCACAUACUGAUUCUCAUCUGGUGGGCUAAUUCUCAUCUGUAAAAUAAAUAGCACUGCUUACCUUCUGUCCGUUGUGAGCUUUUCCGGGUGAUAGCCCAGGAUCACCUUUUUGACCCUAAAACAAAGAAUCAAAGUUCAUGACCUAGUUCAGAGAGAACACUCCUCAUUUCAUGCACAGGGUCUUGGCUGACAUUAGCCUUGGCAUUCAAAAGGAGUUUUAUUUCCCCAUUUCAUCCCCACCUCCCAAACAUUUUAACAUUCAUGUUUUCUGGAUUGUUUUACUGGGACGGAACUAAGACUGUUUUUGAAAUUGUUUGUAGCUGCUAUAGCAAUAAAGAUUUUAAACUAA